rnacentral:rRNA from 1 species
GACAGAGGGUGCAAACGUUGUUCGGAAUUACUGGGCAUAAAGCGCACGUAGGUGGUCCGCUAAGUCGCGUGUGAAAUCCCCCGGCUCAACCGGGGAAAUGCGCGUGAUACUGGCGGGCUUGAGAUCGGGAGGGGUGAAUGGAACUCCAGGUGGAGCGGUGAAAUGCGUAGAUAUCUGGAGGAACACCGGUGGCGAAAGCGGUUCACUGGCCCGACACUGACACUGAGGUGCGAAAGCGUGGGGAGCAAACAGG